UACGUAGGGGGCAAGCGUUGUCCGGAAUCAUUGGGCGUAAAGCGCGUGUAGGCGGCCCGAUAAGUCCGCUGUGAAAGUCCAGGGCUCAACCCUGGAACGCCGGUGGAUACUGUCGGGCUCGAGUCCGGAAGAGGCGAGUGGAAUUCCCGGUGUAGCGGUGAAAUGCGCAGAUAUCGGGAGGAACACCUAUGGCGAAGGCAGCUCGCUGGGACGUUACUGACGCUGAGACGCGAAAGCGUGGGGAGCAAACAGG
rnacentral:rRNA from 1 species